UUUUAAUUUCUCCCAUUUAUCUGCUUUUUUUCCCCUAAUUUCUCCAUAAUGAAACACUAAAGAAGUUUUAUUGAAAAAAUGAAAGCAAUUACAAUGCAUGGUCUUUUUAGGAUUUUUCAUAUUUUCAAGGAAUCAGGGAAUGAUGUUGUGAAGAAAGGGAAAAACAUGAAAGAAUCAUUAGGGUUAAGGAAAAGGGAGGUUUCUAAAGGCAAAAAAAACUGUGCCCUUCCUGGCUCUGCAACCUUCACCUCUUCCCAUCCGUUUCCCAGCUGCAUCAAUCUAUAGCCUCUUUAGAGGACUCUCAACUAACUGCCUCCUUUAUCAAAGGGAGGACUUCCAGCUCCCUGCCUCCUAUCUGCUUGGUGCUCUCUGCCUUUCUCUUCCUUAAAAAGGGAAAAAGAGUGUGUUGCCGGGCGUGGUGGCUCACACCUGUAACCCCAGCACUUUGGGAGGCCAGGGCGGGUGGAUCACGAGGUCAGGAGAUCGAGACCAUCCUGGCCAACACGGUGAAACCCCGUCUCUACUAAAAAUACAGAAAAUUAGCCGAGCAUGAUGGCGGGCGCCUGUAGUCCCAGCUACUCAGGAGGCUGAGGCAGGAGAAUGGCGUGAACCCGGGAAGUGGAGCUUGCAGUGAGCCGAGAUCACGCCACUGCACUCCAG
rnacentral:lncRNA from 10 species